AAACUACGGUCUCAGUUCAGAUUGCAGGCUGCAACUCGCCUGCAUGAAGUUGGAAUUGCUAGUAAUCGCGAAUCAGAAUGUCGCGGUGAAUACGUUCCCGGGCCUUGUACACACCGCCCGUCACACCAUGAGAGUUGGAAAUACCCGAAGCCUGUGAGCUAACUGUAAAGAGGCAGCAGUCGAAGGUAGAGCCAAUGAUUGGGGUGAAGUCGUAACAAGGUAUC
rnacentral:rRNA from 1 species